rnacentral:rRNA from 1 species
UACGGAGGGUGCAAGCGUUAUCCGGAUUCACUGGGUUUAAAGGGUGCGUAGGCGGGCAGGUAAGUCCGUGGUGAAAUCUCUGAGCUUAACUCAGAAACUGCCAUGGAUACUAUUUGUCUUGAAUAUUGUGGAGGUAAGCGGAAUAUGUCAUGUAGCGGUGAAAUGCUUAGAUAUGACAUAGAACACCAAUUGCGAAGGCAGCUCACUACACGAAUAUUGACACUGAGGCACGAAAGCGUGGGGAUCAAACAGG